UAUUGAUGCUUUAGCAUCAUUGGUACUAGAUAAUAUUUUUUAUUGAGAAAAAUUGGUACAAAUGAUCCCUAACCUAGGGGCCGGUUACCGUGCAAAUGGUUUCUAAUGAAAGUUCAUUGAUGUAGAGAAGGUUCAGAUGAUUAUUUCUUCUUGUAAUUUAAUAUCAGGGAAAACUGCUAAAAGGAAAUGAAAUUGCAGUGAAAAGAUUAUCGAGGGAUUCAGGCAAGGCGAGUUGGAAUAUAAAAAGGAGGUCUUGUUAGUGGCGAGACUUCAACACAGGAAUCUGGUUUGGCCCUUGGAUUUCUCGGUCGAAAGAAGUGAAAGGCUUCUUAUCUACGAAUCGGUCAAGAAUGGGAGUCUUGACCGGUUCAUAUUUGAUUUGUAAAUCAAAGCAAUCAUCCAUAUACGGAUUGGGAAAAUCGCUAUAUAGUCAUAGUGGGUAUUGCCAGGGGACUUUUUUACCUACACGAAGAUUCUCGACUACGAAUUGUUCACCAUGAUCGCAAAGAGAGCAAUGUUCUAUUAGAUGGAGAGAUGAACCCAAAAAUUUCAUAUUUUGUCAUGGCAAAAUUAUUUGUCCCGAAUGAAACUCAGCACAAAUUUUGGCAUGACAAAAUUAUUUGUCCCAAAUGAAACUCAGCACAAAUUUUGGAGUACUAGCAAAAUCGUAGGAACCUAGUAAGCAUUUUAGAUAAGUACCUAGUCUUAAAAUAUCUUUUUGCUUAUUUUUACAAAGUGGAUGCUUCGGAAAAAAAAUUUGAAGCUAUUCAUAAAAAUAUAAAUUUGGUUGUGCUUUAAAUUAAACAUAACUAGAUAAUUAUUCAAAGACUAGUUCUAUGUAGAAGCAGUGGCGCUCAACUCCAGGUGCAGUGGAGCCACUGCUACAUUUUCUAAUUGAGUUAAGAUGCAUUUUUAUUCAUUGGACAAUAUUACAGUGAUCAUACUUAAUGCUAAACACACUUGUACUAGAUAGAAUUACUCUAUUUAAAUAACAUCAGCACCAAUGAUACAUCUACAAACUGACCAUCACAGUGGAUGUACGGCUCCUGAGUAUGUAAUACAUACAUGGAGAGUUCUCCAUUAAAUCAGAUGUCUUUGGCUUCGGCAUCCUAGUUUUGGAAAUCAUGUGCGGUCAGAAAACCUGUAAUUUCCAAAACAACGAGAUAAUGGAAGACCUCCUAAGUUGUGUUUGGAAAAACUGGUAUGAAGGAACGGCUGCAAAUAUAAUAGAUCGGGCAUUAAGGUCUUCUUCAUGAUCCUUUAGUGACAUUAUGUGAUGCAUUUAUAUUGGUUUGUUAUGUGUUCAAGAAAAUGCAGCUGAUUGACCUACAAUGGCAUCAAUGGUUCUCAUGGUUUCUACCUUCUCCGUAACUUUGUCAUUACCGUCACAACCCGCAUGUUUUGUGUCCAAUAGAGUUGAUUCAAAAUUUCAGAUCUUCGUGAGAAUGAUUCAUCCAAAGAUCGAUCAGAACUACUCAUUUAUCAGCAAAUGAUGUCUCAAUGAGUGAUUUAUAUCUGCACUAAUUUUCAUUUAGAUUAUGCAUAUUCAAUAGGUACAUGCAUGACAUUUUCCAUUUAUUUUUAUUAUAAAUGCAAUUAUUUUAUAAGCAAACUUGUUUUUAUGAUUUCUAUUGGUAUGUUUUCCAUGUUCUCUCCUUGUAGUAAUUUCUUGCACAUCUCAUAAGACAAUCCCGAUUCAUGUUAUACAAAUACACUUUUUAGUAAGUUUUUAGGGUUGUUAACUGUUCCAAAGUUAUUUAAAGGGUAAUUAGUACGA